GAAGCUUGUUGGAACAUUCAAGGGUUGAGCCUGUAUACUGAGAGCUUGUGGCCAUUUUGAUAUGUAAGGGGUUUGCAUUUCCAAGCGAAUUCGUACAAGCUUUGCUAUCCGCUCACUAGGUAUUAAGUUAUUCAGAUCGUUCCUUGAUUCAAUGAUAUCAAUGAGUCUUUCCAGACACUCGUCCAUAAAAUACUCCACUAGUGCAGCUUCUUUCCGAGGAAAUGAUCCAACAAUGGAAGGUGACACUCCG
rnacentral:misc_RNA from 1 species